rnacentral:rRNA from 1 species
CAAUAGCGUAUAUUAAAGUUGUUGCAGUUAAAAAGCUCGUAGUUGGAUCUCGGGGCAGCCUGGCUGGUCCGCCGCAAGGCGAGUACUGGUCAGCCGCCCUUCCUCUCGAAAGCCCCGACUGCUCUUUAUUGCAGUGGUCGGGUAGUUCGGGACGUUUACUUUGAAAAAAUUAGAGUGUUCAAGGCAGGCCUACGCCUGAAUACAUUAGCAUGGAAUAAUGGAAGAGGACCUCGGUCCUAUUUUGUUGGUUUCCAGGACCGAAGUAAUGAUUAAGAGGGACAGUUGGGGGCAUUCGUAUUUAAUUGUCAGAGGUGAAAUUCUCGGAUUUAUGAAAGACGAACAACUGCGAAAGCAUUUGCCAAGGAUGUUUUCAUUAA